GGGUAUGAUCAUACCAACAUUAAUUCUUUGGAUAAGAUAAAAAAAUCUAUAUUUAGGAAUUCUUAGGAUCGAGUAGUACUAGGAUGGGUGACCUCCUAGGAGAUCCUAGUAUUACACACU
rnacentral:rRNA from 1 species